GAGGCAAAUCAUUGAGUGUCAGUUCAUAUUCAUGACAUAUUGAACAAACAAACACUUAAAUACCAUAUAAAUAAAUAACGAAGGCCUCAUUUUAACAUGAAUACCGGUUUGUAUUUUUCUCUUUUGUUUAAGCAUGAAAGUUCAUUCUUGAGUAUAAAAUUGUUUGACAAAAAUAUCCCUUUUUUCUGGGUCUUUUACAGCAUCAAGAAGAAGCCUGUGUGACAUGGUUGACAGCUCAGGAAAAAACGAAUCCUGGUCAAGAGCCAAAGCAUGUCACCGACGCUGACGUCAUCUUCUUCAUGAUCCCGUGGUCGAACCAACAACUGCUCUGGAAGAAAACAAACGAAAAAAGAAAAAAAAACAGACACAGCUGGAGAAGAGGAGCAGAGGAGAAGAGAGGAAGAAAUGGAACAAUGAUUCACUCGCACUUCAUUAAAGUGAAGAUAUGUAGAUGAUGUAAAAAUGCAGACCUCUAGCUUACCCAGGAUGCA